AGAGAGCUUGCUUUUUAAGCUUAGUGGCGAACGGGUGAGUAACGCGUGAGUAACCUGCCCUAGAGUGGGGGACAACAGUUGGAAACGACUGCUAAUACCGCAUAAGCCCACGGUACCGCAUGGCACUGAGGGAAAAGGAUUUAUUCGCUUUAGGAUGGACUCGCGUCCAAUUAGCUAGUUGGUGAGGUAACGGCCCACCAAGGCGACGAUUGGUGGCCGGACUGAGAGGUUGAACGGCCACAUUGGGACUGAGACACGGCCCAGACUCCUACGGGAGGCAGCAGUGGGGGAUAUUGCACAAUGGGGGAAACCCUGAUGCAGCGACGCCGCGUGGAGGAAGAAGGUUUUCGGAUUGUAAACUCCUGUCGUUAGGGACGAUAAUGACGGUACCUAACAAGAAAGCACCGGCUAACUACGUGCCAGCAGCCGCGGUAAAACGUAGGGUGCAAGCGUUGUCCGGAAUUACUGGGUGUAAAGGGAGCGCAGGCGGGAAGACAAGUUGGAAGUGAAAACCAUGGGCUCAACCCAUGAAUUGCUUUCAAAACUGUUUUUCUUGAGUAGUGCAGAGGUAGAUGGAUUCCCGGUGUAGCGGUGG
rnacentral:rRNA from 1 species